UAGACGACAAGGCUCUGGCAGAAGGAGAAUGACCACUGCAGCUGAUGCAGCUCACUUUGCCACCAUUAGUUCUUUAAGAGAUCGAAGAUCUACUGCUGUGUGUCUAAAAAAUGACUUGCGAAUACUUCAUGGAGUAAGUGUAAGUGAAAGAACGAUACGGAGAAGAUUAGCAGAAGCUGGACUUUAUUCAUGAAGGCCAGCAAGAUGUCCACAAUUACUUCCUCAGCAUCGACAACACCCACUGAGGUUUGCAAGAUCGCAUUUUAAGUGGACUCUAGAACAGUGGGCAAACGUACUAUUCACAGAUGAAUCCAGGGUUUGUUUAAGGACGCCGGAUGGUCAAUAAAUCUCAUAUCGUGGCGGUUCAGUCAUGAUUUGGGCGGGUAUUUCUACUGAAGCACGCACCAAUCUUGUAUUUAUUGAAAAUGAAGCUCUAACCGCCCGCCGUUACAUUGAGGAAAUCCUUCAAGAAGUUGUUGUCCCAUUUGCUCCAUUCAUUGGGAACCAAUUUACAUUAAUGCAUGAUAAUACAAACCUCACAUUGCACAUGUAGUGAGCGAAUAUCUGGAUGAAGUUGGACUCCCAAGAUUGGAAUGGCCCGCAUGUAGCCCAGAUCUCAACCCAAUAGAACAUCUUUGGGAUCAACUUAAAAGGGCCGUUCGUCGUCGUCCUGUACAACCACAAAUCUUGCAAGACUUACGACUAGCGCUGAUCGAAGAAUAUGAGGCUAUUCCUCAAGAAAGAAUAAGGACCUUAUUCUUUCGAUGCCGCGAAGACUGCAAGCUGUUAUUGCUGCGAGAGGAGGAAAUACACGUAAAUACACCUCGCAGCAGAAAUGAGAUAAUGGAAUGAAUCAAAAAUCGAAAUGUUUAGAAUACAUCAAAGAUUACAAGGAACAGUAUGUAAACAGAAUUAUCCACCUUAAUUUUCCUACAGGGUCUUUUGAAAUU